rnacentral:rRNA from 1 species
ACCGCGUGAGUGAAGAAGGGUUUCGGCUCGUAAAGCUCUGUUGUUGGAGAAGAACGUGCGUGAGAGUAACUGUUCACGCAGUGACGGUAUCCAACCAGAAAGUCACGGCUAACUACGUGCCAGCAGCCGCGGUAAUACGUAGGUGGCAAGCGUUAUCCGGAUUUAUUGGGCGUAAAGCGAGCGCAGGCGGAUAAAUAAGUCUGAUGUGAAAGCCCUCGGCUUAACCGAGGAACUGCAUCGGAAACUGUUUUUCUUGAGUGCAGAAGAGGAGAGUGGAACUCCAUGUGUAGCGGUGGAAUGCGUAGAUAUAUGGAAGAACACCAGUGGCGAAGGCGGCUGUCUGGUCUGCAACUGACGCUGAGGCUCGAAAGCAUGGGUAGCGAACAGGAUUAGAUACCCUGGUAGUCCAUGCCGUAAACGAUGAGUGCUAGGUGUUGGAGGGUUUCCGCCCUUCAGUGCCGGAGCUAACGCAUUAAGCACUCCGCCUGGGGAGUACGACCGCAAGGUUGAAACUCAAAGGAAUUGACGGGGGCCCGCACAAGCGGUGGAGCAUGUGGUUUAAUUCGAAGCUACGCGAAGAACCUUACCAGGUCUUGACAUCUUGCGCUAACCUAAGAGAUUAGGCGUUCCCUUCGGGGACGCAAUGACAGGUGGUGCAUGGUCGUCGUCAGCUCGUGUCGUGAGAUGUUGGGUUAAGUCCCGCAACGAGCGCAACCCUCGCCUUUAGUUACCAUCAUUUAGUUGGGUACUCUAAAGGAACCGCCGGUGAUAAGCCGGAGGAAGGUGGGGAUGACGUCAAGUCCUCAUGGCCCUUACGGGUUGGGCUACACACGUGCUACAAUGGUGGUGACAGUGGGUUAAUCCCCAAAAGCCAUCUCAGUUCGGAUUGUCCUCUGCAACUCGAGGGCAUGAAGUUGGAAUCGCUAGUAA